UACGUAGGGUCCGAGCGUUGUCCGGAGUACUGGGCGUAAAGCGCGCGCAGGCGGCUCGUCAAGUCUGGCGUGAAAGCCCCCGGCUCAACUGGGGAGGGUCAUUCGAUACUGAUCGACUGGAAGGCAGGAGAGGGAAGCGGAAUUCCCGGUGUAGUGGUGAAAUGCGUAGAUAUCGGGAGGAACACCAGUGGCGAAGGCGGCUUCCUGGCCUGUUCUUGACGCUGAGGCGCGAAAGCCAGGGGAGCAAACGGG
rnacentral:rRNA from 1 species